rnacentral:lncRNA from 1 species
UUUCUGAAAUUCCUUAUUCGAUGCCUUUAUUUUAUGCAUUUUUUGAAAUGGCUGACUUUUUUAUUUGUUGAUUUUUUUUUAUUCCACAGAAAAAUGCCAUAAGUUCUAUUACAGACGAAGAAGUGGAAAAUGAUCACAUCGUUAAAAAAAAUGCAGAUGCUACACAUCUAUCUUCUGAAAUUCCUCAUCAGAUGCCUUUAUUUUAUGCAUCUUUUGAAAUGGCUGACUGUUUUAUUUGUUGAUUUUUUUUUUAUUCCACAGAAAAAUGCCAUAAGUUCUAUUACAGAAGAAGA